GACGUAGGGCGCGAGCGUUGUCCGGAUUUAUUGGGCGUAAAGAGCUCGUAGGCGGCUUGUCGCGUCGGCUGUGAAAACCCGCGGCUCAACUGUGGGCGGGCAGCUGAUACGGGCAGGCUGGAGUUCGGUAGGGGAGACUGGAAUUCCUGGUGUAGCGGUGAAAUGUGCAGAUAUCAGGAGGAACACCGGUGGCGAAGGCGGGUCUCUGGGCCGAUACUGACGCUGAGGAGCGAAAGCGUGGGGAGCGAACAGG
rnacentral:rRNA from 1 species